rnacentral:rRNA from 1 species
AGGACGAACGCUUGCGACGUGCCUAAGAAAUGCAAGUCGAGCGAGGUAGCAAUACCUAGCGGCGAACGGUCGCGUAACACGUAAGCAACCUGCCCCAAAGACCGGGACAACGUUCCGAAAGGAGCGCUAAUACCGGAUGUGCCCAUUAUUUGACAUCAUUUGAUGAGUAAAUCGAGCAAUCGGCUUUGGGAGGGGCUUGCGGCCUAUCAGCUAGAUGGUGGGUAAUGGCCUACCAUGGCUUCGACGGGUAGCUGGU